rnacentral:rRNA from 1 species
UGGGGAAUAUUGCACAAUGGGCGAAAGCCUGAUGCAGCAACGCCGCGUGAGUGAUGAAGGUCUUCGGAUUGUAAAGCUCUGUCUUUUGGGACGAUAAUGACGGUACCAAAGGAGGAAGCCACGGCUAACUACGUGCCAGCAGCCGCGGUAAUACGUAGGUGGCGAGCGUUGUCCGGAUUUACUGGGCGUAAAGGGUGCGUAGGCGGAUGUUUAGGUGAGAUGUGAAAUACCCGGGCUUAACUUGGGUGCUGCAUUUCAAACUGGAUAUCUAGAGUGCAGGAGAGGAGAAUGGAAUUCCUAGUGUAGCGGUGAAAUGCGUAGAGAUUAGGAAGAACACCAGUGGCGAAGGCGAUUCUCUGGACUGUAACUGACGCUGAGGCACGAAAGCGUGGGUAGCAAACAGGAUUAGAUACCCUGGUAGUCCACGCCGUAAACGAUGAGUACUAGGUGUAGGAGGUAUCGACCCCUUCUGUGCCGCAGUAAACACAUUAAGUACUCCGC